rnacentral:rRNA from 1 species
GACGAACGCUGGCGGCGUGCUUAACACAUGCAAGUCGAACGGAAAGGCCCUGCUUUUGUGGGGUGCUCGAGUGGCGAACGGGUGAGUAACACGUGAGUAACCUGCCCUUGACUUUGGGAUAACUCCAGGAAACUGGGGCUAAUACCGGAUAGGAGCUCCUGCUGCAUGGUGGGGGUUGGAAAGUUUCGGCGGUUGGGGAUGGACUCGCGGCUUAUCAGCUUGUUGGUGGGGUAGUGGCUUACCAAGGUUUUGACGGGUAGCCGGCCUGAGAGGGUGACCGGCCACAUUGGGACUGAGAUACGGCCCAGACUCCUACGGGAGGCAGCAGUGGGGAAUAUUGCACAAUGGGCGGAAGCCUGAUGCAGCAACGCCGCGUGCGGGAUGACGGCCUUCGGGUUGUAAACCGCUUUCGCCUGUGACGAAGCGUGAGUGACGGUAAUGGGUAAAGAAGCACCGGCUAACUACGUG